rnacentral:misc_RNA from 1 species
AAGUGUGAGACAGGGUCAG